GCUGCCACUACUCCAUGUGCCCGCGAUUGUCUUGCGUGUAUGAUUACACUAACGGCGUCGCCCACCACGGCGGAAGUGUUUUGCGUACACGCGUUUCAGCAUGAAGCCUGCAGGUGGACGUAAAUUGUAGAAGGCAGCUAGUGGGGGAGAAGAUCAUGGUCAUAGGUCAUGUGACUCCUGGAGCUCCCAGUGGGCUCCCUUGUGGAGUACUUUUCAGAACACACACACACACAGUUUGCUCACAGAACCAACGAGUAGGAUGUUGCUUGAAUACUGAGAGAAAAUGGCGUAACACAUACAAAUAUCGUGUGACACAUAUGACAAUAAAAACAUUUUUCACGAGGGA